AAUUUAGAAAAGUUAUGCCACGUCAGCAGUCCAGUCAGCAGCCCCGGCCAACUAGGACACGCAGUGUGGCAAGGACACUGACGCGGGAGGCCACGCGGGAUGGAGCCUCGUGGGCGAUCCGCAUGCAUGCGAUCGAAUGGUCCAGAUCUCACGCGUGCGAACGGCCCAUAUCUCACAUGUACGGAAAGCCCAGAUCUCACGCGUGCGAAUGGCCCAGAUUGAAUCACGCACGGACGGCCCAGAUCGCAUCGCGAUGGACGACCCAAAUUUAAUCCUAAUUUAAUCGCGAUCGGACGGUCCAGAUU
rnacentral:lncRNA from 1 species